AUUGAACGCUGGCGGCAGGCCUAACACAUGCAAGUCGAGCGAGCGGCGGACGGGUGAGUAAUGUCUGGGAAACUGCCUGAUGGAGGGGGAUAACUACUGGAAACGGUAGCUAAUACCGCAUACCAUCAGAUGUGCCCAGGUGGGAUUAGCUAGGAGGUGGGGUAACGGCUCACCUUGGCGACGAUCCCUAGCUGGUCGGAGAGGAUGACCAGCAAAACUGGAACGGAGACACGGUCCAGACUCUGACGGGGGGCAGCAGUGGGGAAUAGUGCACAAUGGGCGCAAGCCUGAUGCAGCCAUGCCGCGUGUGUGAAGAAGGCAUUCGGGUUGUAAAGCACUUUCAGCGGGGAGGCGUUACCCGCAGAAGAAGCACCGGCUAACUCCGUGCCAGCAGCCGCGGUAAUUC
rnacentral:rRNA from 1 species